GUGUUUGCUUCGGCAGCACAUAUACUAAAAGUUGGAACAAUACAAUUACCAUGAACCCUGAGUAAAAAUGAUAUGCAAAUUCAUAAAACGUUCCAUACUUUU
ensembl:snRNA U6 U6 spliceosomal RNA